CGAUUGCGAGCCACGCUUCACGCAACCGUGUUUGCGUACUUGUGUUUCGAGUUGCGUGGUCGUGCGGAGUUAUAUUUACCAAAUUUAAAUGUAAUAAUAAUAUACUAUUCUCAAUAUGGCUACUGGGUGUAAAAGAUAAAUCUUAUUCUAUCUGUUCUUCAUGAGUUUUAGAUAAUUUUAGUUGUAUUUCUUUGUAAUUUUGUGUUGUACAAAGAUUAAUUUAACAUUUUCUCUGGAAGUAUUAAUUUAGAAAGAUAAUAUGCUUCAUUGGUGUUGUGUUUUGAAGUGUGAAAUGCAAAGUAAUUGUGAUAAAGUCAAGAUAAAGUUCACUUUUAAACUGAACUAAAUAAGGUAUCUGAGAGACAACAAUGGUUAAAUGCAAUACAAUGUACAGGUUUUACUAGCGAAAUGAAAAUUUUCCUGUCCUGUCUGCUGUAAUCAUUUUAUAUCUGGUAAGUUACAAUUACAACAGUAACGAUUUUUGAAGAUGUUAACAUUUUAAUCUUAUAGGAAAAUAGGAAAACCAGCCGACUUAAUCGAUAAUAACAAUCUCCAGAUUGGGUUCCUUCAAUAAAUAUGGGCUAUAAACACAAUGAAAUAAGUUCCCCAAAAUCUAAAAUGGAGUGCUAUCAAAGGAGAAUUAAAGGAAAAAAUAUUCAUAUUGAAAUUAUUUAUAAGGCACUGGACUGUCUUAAAUUCUACAAUAAUACUAGAAUCAGCUGAGAGAAGUGGUCUACAAAAAACCAGGAAGGAAACGGAAUAUGUGGCUACGAAAGGCAAAAGAAAGGUUUACAAAGCAAAUGUGACACAUUUUUUUGAAAUAUUUAGGAAUAUCAGUAAAUUGCAUUAAAAAAUGUAUGAAAAGAUUUUGUUCAAUAAAAAUGUUUAUAUUUA